GACGAACGCUGGCGGCGUGCUUAACACAUGCAAGUCGAACGAUGAAGCCGGAGCUUGCUCUGGUGAAUUAGUGGCGAACGGGUGAGUAACACGUGAGUAACCUGCCCUUGACUCUGGGAUAACUGCGGGAAACUGUAGCUAAUACUGGAUACGACCCUCGGAGGCAUCUCCUGGGGGUGGAAAGAAUUUCGGGCAAGGAUGGACUCGCGGCCUAUCAGCUAUUUUGUGAGGUAAAGGCUCACCAAGGCGACGACGGGGAGCCGGCCUGAGAGGGGGGCAGGCCUGCCUGGGACUGAGACACGGCGCAGACUUCCACGGGAGGCAGCAGUGGGAAAUAUUGCACAAUGGGCGCAAGCCUGAUGCAUCAGCGCCGCGUGAGGGAUGACGGCCUUCUGGAUGAAAACCUCUUUUAGCAGGGAAGAAGCGAAAGUGACGGUACCUGCAGAAAAAGCACCGGCUAACUACGUGCCAGCCGCCGCCGUAA
rnacentral:rRNA from 1 species